rnacentral:rRNA from 1 species
UACGAGGGGGGCGAGCGUUGUUCGGAAUUAUUGGGCGUAAAGGGUGCGUAGGCGGUUUGGUAAGUCUUAUGUGAAAUCUACAGGCUCAACUUGUAGUCUGCAUGAGAAACUGCCGGGCUUGAGUAUGGGAGAGGUGAGUGGAAUUCCUGGUGUAGCGGUGAAAUGCGUAGAUAUCAGGAGGAACACCUGAGGUGAAGACGGGUUGCUGGGCCGACACUGACGCUGAGUGCGCGAAAGCCAGGGGAGCAAACGGG